rnacentral:rRNA from 1 species
UACGUAGGGGGCAAGCGUUGUCCGGAAUCAUUGGGCGUAAAGAGCGUGUAGGCGGCCCGAUAAGUCCGCCGUGAAAGUCCAGGGCUCAACCCUGGGAUGCCGGUGGAAACUGUCGGGCUAGAGUCCGGAGGAGGCGAGUGGAAUUCCUGGUGUAGCGGUGAAAUGCGCAGAUAUCAGGAGGAACACCGGUGGCGAAGGCGGUUCUCUGGGCCUGUACUGACGCUGAGGAGCGAAAGCGUGGGGAGCGAACAGG